CUGGUCUCGAACUCCUGACCUCAGGUGAUCCACCCUCCUCAGCCUCCCACAGUGCUGGGAUGACAGGUGUAAGCCACCGUGCCCGGCCUGAAACACUUUUUAUUCCAAGCAUUUUGGAUAAAGGAUGUUCAACCCAUACUUAAGAAGUUUCAAAAUACCAGGUUAAUCAUCAAUAAAGAAGAGAUUACAAUAUUUGUUCUGCUUGUUUGUCAGGGUUCUAUGAAGAUCAAAUUAGAUGAUGCAAGUGAAAUAUUUUGGCUAAAACAAAAUUAAUGUUUAUUGAACAGCUACUAGAUCCCAGGUGCUUUACCAACAUUACCUCUUCAUGAGGUAACUUUUUUUUUU
rnacentral:lncRNA from 1 species